rnacentral:rRNA from 1 species
UACGUAGGGGGCAAGCGUUGUCCGGAAUCAUUGGGCGUAAAGAGCGCGUAGGCGGUCCGGUAAGUCCGCUGUGAAAGUCAAGGGCUCAACCCUUGAAUGCCGGUGGAUACUGUCGGGCUAGAGUCCGGAAGAGGCGAGUGGAAUUCCUGGUGUAGCGGUGAAAUGCGCAGAUAUCAGGAGGAACACCAGCGGCGAAGGCGGCGCUCUGGGCCGGUACUGACACUGAGGAGCGAAAGCGUGGGGAGCAAACAGG